GAAUUUUGGACAAUGGGGGCAACCCUGAUCCAGCCAUGCCGCGUGAGUGAAGAAGGCCUUCGGGUUGUAAAGCUCUUUCAGACGGAAAGAAAUCGGGCGAGCGAAUACCUCGCCUGGAUGACGGUACUGUCAGAAGAAGCACCGGCUAACUACGUGCCAGCCGCCGCGGUAAUACGUAGGGUGCGAGCGUUAAUCGGAAUUACUGGGCGUAAAGCGUGCGCAGGCGGUUGUGUAAGACAGGUGUGAAAUCCCCGGGCUUAACCUGGGAACUGCGCUUGUGACUGCACGGCUAGAGUACGGCAGAGGGGGGUGGAAUUCCACGUGUAGCAGUGAAAUGCGUAGAUAUGUGGAGGAACACCGAUGGCGAAGGCAGCCCCCUGGGCCGAUACUGACGCUCAUGCACGAAAGCGUGGGGAGCAAACAGGA
rnacentral:rRNA from 1 species